AUGUUAGCGGCGGACGGGUGAGUAACACGUGGGUAACCUGCCUGUAAGACUGGGAUAACUCCGGGAAACCGGGGCUAAUACCGGAUGCUUGUUUGAACCGCAUGGUUCAAACAUAAAAGGUGGCUUCGGCUACCACUUACAGAUGGACCCGCGGCGCAUUAGCUAGUUGGUGAGGUAACGGCUCACCAAGGCAACGAUGCGUAGCCGACCUGAGAGGGUGAUCGGCCACACUGGGACUGAGACACGGCCCAGACUCCUACGGGAGGCAGCAGUAGGGAAUCUUCCGCAAUGGACGAAAGUCUGACGGAGCAACGCCGCGUGAGUGAUGAAGGUUUUCGGAUCGUAAAGCUCUGUUGUUAGGGAAGAACAAGUACCGUUCGAAUAGGGGCGGUACCUUGACGGUACCUAACCAGAAAGCCACGGAUAACUACAUGCCAUCACCCGCGGUAAUACGUGUGUGCCAAGCUUUUUACGAAAUAAUGGGGGGGUAACGGGUUGGGGGGGGGCCCCCUUAAAUUUGAUUUAGAAAUUCCCCCCGGGCACCCGGGCACCGCUCGAGU
rnacentral:rRNA from 1 species